UACAGAGGGGGCAAGCGUUGUUCGGAAUUACUGGGCGUAAAGGGCGCGUAGGCGGUCCUCUAAGUCAGACGUGAAAUCCCUCGGCUCAACCGGGGAACUGCGUCUGAGACUGGAAGGCUUGAAUUCGGGAGAGGGAUGUGGAAUUCCAGGUGUAGCGGUGAAAUGCGUAGAUAUCUGGAGGAACACCGGUGGCGAAGGCGGCAUCCUGGACCGAUAUUGACGCUGAUGCGCGAAAGCGUGGGGAGCGAACAGG
rnacentral:rRNA from 1 species